rnacentral:rRNA from 1 species
AGAGUUUGAUCAUGGCUCAGAGCGAACGCUGGCGGCAGGCUUAACACAUGCAAGUCGAGCGGGCGUAGCAAUACGUCAGCGGCAGACGGGUGAGUAACGCGUGGGAACAUACCUUUUGGUUCGGAACAACACAGGGAAACUUGUGCUAAUACCGGAUAAGCCCUUACGGGGAAAGAUUUAUCGCCGAAAGAUUGGCCCGCGUCUGAUUAGCUAGUUGGUGAGGUAACGGCUCACCAAGGCGACGAUCAGUAGCUGGUCUGAGAGGAUGAUCAGCCACAUUGGGACUGAGACACGGCCCAAACUCCUACGGGAGGCAGCAGUGGGGAAUAUUGGACAAUGGGCGCAAGCCUGAUCCAGCCAUGCCGCGUGAGUGAUGAAGGCCCUAGGGUUGUAAAGCUCUUUUGUGCGGGAAGAUAAUGACGGUACCGCAAGAAUAAGCCCCGGCUAACUUCGUGCCAGCAGCCGCGGUAAUACGAAGGGGGCUAGCGUUGCUCGGAAUCACUGGGCGUAAAGGGUGCGUAGGCGGGUCUUUAAGUCAGGGGUGAAAUCCUGGAGCUCAACUCCAGAACUGCCUUUGAUACUGAAGAUCUUGAGUUCGGGAGAGGUGAGUGGAACUGCGAGUGUAGAGGUGAAAUUCGUAGAUAUUCGCAAGAACACCAGUGGCGAAGGCGGCUCACUGGCCCGAUACUGACGCUGAGGCACGAAAGCGUGGGGAGCAAACAGGAUUAGAUACCCCCGUAGUCC